rnacentral:misc_RNA from 1 species
GAUGAAGAACGCAGCGAAAUGCGAUACGUAGUGUGAAUUGCAGAAUUCAGUGAAUCAUCGAAUCUUUGAACGCACAUUGCGCCCUUUGGUAUUCCAAAGGGCAUGCCUGUUCGAGCGUCAUUUGUACCCUCAAGCUUUGCUCGGUGUUGGGCGUCUUGUCUCCAGUCCGCUGGAGACUCGCCUUAAAGUCAUUGGCAGCCGGCCUACUGGUUUCGGAGCGCAGCACAAGUCGCACUCUUUUCCAGCCAAGGUCAGCGUCCAACAAGCCUUUUUUCAACUUUUGACCUCGGAUCAGGUAGGGAUACCCGCUGAACUUAAGCAUAUCAAUAAGCGGAGGA